rnacentral:lncRNA from 1 species
GAGAAAAUGGAGUAGUCUGGAGUUCUCUCCGCUCCUUGGAACACAGGCUUGACACCUCCUCCUUCCCAUGGUCAUGAGUAUUAGAGUAGUAUACCUAGGGUCCCCCUGAGGGCAGACUCUUUAGCGAGACCGUGUGAAAAUGGUCCUGUGUGGCAGGUGACUGGAUCCAGGUGCCAGAGGCAGUGACUUAGAAUGACUUCUCCAGGCCCCUCCCUGCUGUGUCCGGCCACCACCCGCUCCCACUGGUAGCUUCUUCCUUGACGCUUGCGCUGGGCCACCCGGCCUGACCAGAAAGCCAGGAGCGGAGACGACGGGACUCAGCUUGCGUGUUCCUGAGGAGCACUGGGCUGAAGAGUGAAGACCCAGGAGGCUAAGCCAGGAGAGGUGCUCCAUGUGGGGAAGAAAACAGGUGGUUCUGCGAGGGCUUUUCUGCUUGCCAGCGCUGGCGGCUGGGGUCUAAUCCGAGCCCCAUUACAGAAAUAUCGGCAGUACAUGGCGGGACUUCUGGCUCCUCCUUAUGGUGUUAUGGAAACGGGCUCUAACAAUGAUAAUACCCUAACUUCUAUCCACUCCAGUAUGAGGAUUUGUACAACUGCGUUUGUCUUAUUAAACCUCCCAGAAAGUAAGCUUCUGUUACAACCCUGUAUCUCCUC